UGACCAGUGGUGUAAUGGUAGCACAAAGGUUUCUGGCACCUUUUGUUGGGGUUCGAGUCCCUACUGGUCAA
rnacentral:tRNA from 4 species